rnacentral:rRNA from 1 species
AGUGAACGCUGGCGGUAGGCCUAACACAUGCAAGUCGAACGGCAGCACAGUAAGAGCUUGCUCUUACGGGUGGCGCGUGGCGGACGGGUGAGGAAUACAUCGGAAUCUACUUUUUCGUGGGGGAUAACGUAGGGAAACUUACGCUAAUACCGCAUACGACCUACGGGUGAAAGCAGGGGAUCUUCGGACCUUGCGCGAUUGAAUGAGCCGAUGUCGGAUUAGCUAGUUGGCGGGGUAAAGGCCCACCACGGCGACGAUCCGUAGCUGGUCUGAGAGGAUGAUCAGCCACACUGGAACUGAGACACGGUCCAGACUCCUACGGGAGGCAGCAGUGGGGAAUAUUGGACAAUGGACGCGAGCCUGAUCCAGCCAUACCGCGUGGGUGAAGAAGGCGUUCGGGUUGUAAAGCCCUUUUGUUGGGAAAGAAAAGCAGCAGGUUAAUACCCCGCUGUUCUGACGGUACCCAAAGAAUAAGCACCGGCUAACUUCGUG